UACGGGGGGGGCAAGCGUUGUUCGGAAUUACUGGGCGUAAAGGGUCCGUAGGUGGCUUGCUAAGUCAGACGUGAAAUCCCUCGGCUUAACCGGGGAACUGCGUCUGAGACUGGCGAGCUUGAGUGCAGGAGAGGAACGCGGAAUUCCAGGUGUAGCGGUGAAAUGCGUAGAUAUCUGGAGGAACACCGGUGGCGAAGGCGGCGUUCUGGACUGUAACUGACACUGAAAGACGAAAGCCAGGGGAGCGAAACGGGG
rnacentral:rRNA from 1 species